UUAUCUUAAAAAAAAAAAAAAAAAAAGAAAAGAAAAAAUAUUAUCUAUCCAUUCAAUGUUGUUUUAAAUUUAAUUCCGAUUAUUACAUAUAUACAUAUGUAUGUCCUUUGUUAUCUUACACGAUUCAUAUUUAUAUUGUCGAAGGUUAUCUUUGAAUAUCAUUUCGUGGUUUUUCAAUGUCACGAUAAAGUUAUCAUCAUCAGUAUAUUACAAACACUCGACGAGUUCAGACGUGUUUGUCGUGUUUAUAUCGGAUUUACGUAUUUACGCAUAUCAAAUAUUAAUGAAUAAUAAUCUAUAAUUUACCAUUUCGAUUUUCUUCGACAUACAAGCUUCUUCUUUGUGAGUGCCUGCCGUCGGUCGUAUAUCUAAUUCUCGGUUCGAUUCUUUGUGCGGGUAUAUAAGUUGGUGUAGUAAAAUCAUCAGGACUCGAAACAACGGGCCUGUUGGAUCUCCUUUUGCAAAUUGCCAAACCAAUUACUAUACCGAUGCCUACCAAAAUCAAUGCCGCUGCACCUAUAUAUAGAAAUAAGAAACAAUUAUAUUAAAUUGUAUUUGAAUAUAGAUAGAUAGACUCUUAGAUAGAUAGAUAAACUUUUAAAAUAUUUCUAAAUUAUAUUCGUAUUCCUAUUAAAUACGUACAACACGAAUAUUGAUACAAUCGGAUGGCUAUCGAGGAGGAGUAAGUUAGCGUUUAUACCUAUCAAAGCCAUUACGAUGAUCAUGCUUUGCGAAUCGACUUGAGGAAUGGCUUUCUUCAAAUCCUCGAGAAAAAUCCCAGUACUUUCGAGCUUUCCACCGAUUGGUUCAGCAACUUGUACAUGUUUAAGAAGAGUGGGCUCGCUUCUUCCACGUCCAUUGACGGCAUAUACGUAAAUGGUAUAAUCAUAGCCUGGCUUGAGAUCGUGAAGACGAAAAGUAGGACUUGGAUUUCUUUCUUGAUAUAUAGGCGGUGCUUCGCUCACUGCACCUUGAUCGCUUUGGGGCGUUUGAAGGGUUUGUGGAAUGACCUGUACGAUGCCAGAACUACCAAAGGGACCACGAACCUCCAGCAGGAAGUGCUGCGGUGAACCACCAUCCGAACCAGGAAUACAAUUUACUUCUAAGGAACUACUUUCGUUGCGUAACGAACAAUCUAUCGGUGCCUGUGGUGUUUCUGAAAGAAAAAAAGAAAAAAAAAAAAAAGAAUAUUUUGAAAUGAGUUUUCCAAGGAGAAAAAUAUUUGUUUAGAUUAAAUAUAAUUUUUUAUAUUUAUCUAUCCAUUGUCAUCAAUUAUUGAUUUAAACAGAAAAGUGCAUAUCAAUUAUCGAGUAAUAUUCACCAAAAUUCCUUUAUAAAAAAUAAAAUACUGAAUCCAUUUGAGAUCGUAUUACAAAAGUUCCUAUGAUUUUAUCCUCGGUGAAUCAUCAAUGUAACGAGAAGAAGAUUUACACUUUUAUGGUGACGACAUCAAAACUAUUACUACGAUAUAUAUAGCCCAACAAGCGAGAGUACCGUAAUCAGUAUCCGCACUAGGAGUAUAAUCCAGUAAACUAACGAGGCCAUUAUCCCGAACUCUUGAAUUUGGUAACGGUAGGACGUCGCCUCGUGUUCCGUUGAAGCUCCAGGAAAAUCGAAUCAACUCGUCUGGAACUGCUUCGAUUUCGCAUCUCAAGGUCACCGUUUCAUGUCGAACAGCCGCUAUUUCUUGCCUCUCAUAACCCUCUCUACAUCUUGGAGCAUCUGCAUAUCAUCGAAUAAUACAAUUUUCAUUUCCUUUUUUUCAACGAUCUUUAUUUUCUUUUUAUCUAUUUUAUUUAUUCUAUAAUUAUACUUACACUUCAUGUGAAUAAGAAGAGGCAGACUACGUCCUUGUCCAACAAAGUUUGUAGCUUCGCAAGAGUAUUCACCAGAGUGGUCGAGAGUGAGAACACGAAGAGUGAGCGUAUUGGAGGAUACCAAAAUACCGGCGCUCACGUCAUGCUCUAAUCGUAUAUCCUGAAUUAAAGAAUUCUUUAUUAUCUUUUAUUUCUAGCUUAUAUAUAUAUAUAUUUUUUUUUUUUUAAUUCUCUAUUAUCUCUAGCGAUAUUAUUCCAAGGAAGCAUACUUACGUCGUGAUACCAAGUGACCUUCGUCGGCGGUGGAUUGCUCUGAACGUCGCAGACCAAUUUCAGAUCAUCCCCUUCUCUUAAUGUAUUUAAAAUAUAUCCUGUUGCCAGGUGAGCCGUUAAGACCGGUGCGUCUGUCAAUUGAUAUUAUUAAAGAAACUAAAAUAUCUAGCAAAACACAGAAUUUCGAAAAGUAUUAGAAAACUUACAAAGAACGCGAAGAGAUUUUGUUUCUUCGAGAACGCCACCAGGAAAUCUAGGAUUUUCGGCUUUGCAAGAUCACCGAUCACUUCGUCGCCUAAUCUCCAAAUAAUUCUGGCAGCUGGAGAACUACCCCAAGUUUCGCAUUUUGCAGCGAUCGGACGACCGGCGUACAUUUCUUCGUCGCUCAAAAUAAUUUUCACCACGGCCGGUUUAACUGAAAUGACAAUGAAAAAAUUGAUGAACGGUGUUUACAAUGGCUCGUGCAACUUGACUUUUGACGUUCAGCAAACACAAUAUAUAUUUGUGAUAUCUACUUGGGUGGUUUGCGAUCAUGAUAUGACGUUCUGAUUUUCAAACAUAUCUAUUUACUGAUAUAGAUACAUAUCUAUAUCAUUCAUCGUACAGUUUCCUAGAUGGCAGAUGAUCCUUGCAAAGGUGAUACUAAUGUCUUUUUUUCUACAAUUGCUGAAAAUAAAUCGUGCAAAUUCUUUCGCUACGAACUUGGAACGUCUUAAGUAUUCAACCUCGUAUGGAAUUCGAGACAACGUAGUGGAAAAUACUUAGAGAAGCGGAUAUUUAUCGAUUCACUAAAAUUCUUUCGACAUUUUAUCGAAAUGGAACAUCUUUCCCGUAACGAUUAUUUCAAUGUCCAAAAUUGUUCUACAAUAUGAUAUCGAAGAAUACGAGAAAAAUAAUUCAAGUAUACUAUAAUAAGGACAUUCCAUGUGUCUGGUAUAGUUGAAAUUUAUUUUAUUAAUUUUUUUCUAACCUGUUAUCUAUUUGACGCAACGAGCAAGAUAUUACAUUCUUUUCUUUUACUUUAUAACGAAGAAAGAUUUCAUUCAAAAGUUAUAAGAUGCAGAAAUAAGCGGAUGGCGAGAAAUUCCUAGCAGAAUUCUUUUAAGAAACAGGAUGCCGUGCCGUUGGCGCCAAAGAUUAAUAAUGUAAUUACAGUCUCAACGAACGGACGACGUCGCGAAGCUUGCCAAAUCAAAUCGCCACCCGUCCCGUCCUAUUCCAUCGCGUGUCAAUUUUAUACAACUUUCGUCUGAUGCGUCAUGUUAAACGCAUGACUUCUUUUGGUCAAAACAAUCCAUUUUUUUUCUUUCCUUACAUUUUCUUAAAUAGUUUCAAGAAUAUUCAAUUAAAGUUACAGAUCAAAAUUUUGAAAAAUGACGAAGCAAUAACGAUAACAGCAAUGGGAUAAUUAACGAUCUCAAUUAAUGCUUUCAGAUCGAACAACUAUUUCAUCCCUUAACUUUUCUUUAUCGUUUUAAAUCAUUUUAUUUUAUUUCAAGCUCUAGAUUGCCGUACAAAUUUACGUAGGUAUCACGUCAAAUCAUACUUUGACAAAUAUUUACGCCAAUGGCUGAGAAUCAGCCAUUUAUCAUUAUUCUUAAAUGAAAAAAUUUACAUUUUAAUCUUCGAAGUACGUUUUAUCAUGCAAAGAAAAGUUUAAUCUUAUAAAUAAUAAAGGUUU